CCUACGGGUGGCUGCAGCAAGGAAUCUUCCGCAAUGGGGGCAACCCUGACGGAGCAACGCCGCGUGGGGGACGACGCGCUUCGGCGUGUAAACCCCUUUUCUGCCGGAAGAACGCGGGGCGACCCGCCUGACGGUACGGCAGGAAGAAGGACCGGCUAACCACGUGCCAGCAGCCGCGGUAAUACGUGGGGUCCGAGCGUUGUCCGGAGUUACUGGGCGUAAAGGGCGCGCAGGCGGCGGCGUGGGUCCGGCGUGAAAGCCCCCGGCUCAACCGG
rnacentral:rRNA from 1 species